CCUAGUGGACGAUGGAUCUUUAAAUUCGGCACAUGCAUCCAAAUCGUUCCAAGAGUUUAGGGUGACAUUAGAAACAGCAAUGACGAAACAUUCAGAAGGAACAUCCUCUACUCCACUGGUGGCUCUGCUGUACUGUGGAUGGGUUUAUGUUCUCGAUGGAGUCCAAUCGGCAAUAGAAAACAAUGUACCUGUAGUUGUAUUGCAGGGGACAGGUGGUUUUGCUGAUGUACUGGCCAAUGUGUAUGAGUACUCCGAGGAAAACAGGACAAGAUCUUCCCGCAGCAGAG